UGGUGUCAGCCGCCGCGGUAAAACCAGCACCUCGAGUGGUCAGGAGGUUUAUUGGGCCUAAAGCAUCCGUAGCCGGUUGCAUAAGUUUUCGGUUAAAUCUAUGCGCUUAACGUAUAGGCCGCCGAAAAUACUGNNNNGCUAGGGAGUGGGAGAGGUACACGGUACUNNAUAGGAAGGGGUAAAAUCCUUUGAUCUAUUGAUGACCACCUGUGGCGAAGGCGGUGUACCAGAACACGUUCGACGGUGAGGGAUGAAAGCUGGGGGAGCAAACCGGAUUAGAUACCCGGGUAGUCCCAGCUGUAAACGAUGCAGACUCGGUGAUGCAUUGGCUUGUGGCCAAUGCAGUGCCGCAGGGAAGCCGUUAAGUCUGCCGCCUGGGAAGUACGUACGCAAGUAUGAAACUUAAAGGAAUUGGCGGGGGAGCACCACAAGGGGUGAAGCCUGCGGUUCAAUUGGAGUCAACGCCAGAANNNNNACCUGGGGAGA
rnacentral:rRNA from 1 species